CCUCCCAAAGAUGGCAUCAACAGUAGUGGUACCAAGAAUCAAGCUGGGUUCACAGGGCCUGGAUGUAUCGAAACAAGGGCUGGGCUGUAUGGGUAUGUCGUCUAAUUACGGGCCGCCGAAGCCCGAACCUGACAUGAUCGCCCUCAUUCACCAUGCCAUCGCCUCCGGGAUCUCAUUCCUCGACACUUCCGACUCUUAUGGUCCCCACACCAAUGAGAUUCUUAUCGGAAAGGUAAGUUUAUAUUUCUUAUCAUGCUUAUGAGGUAUUAAGAGAGAUGACUGGUAAUGACUUAUGUGGAUGGUUUAUAUGAACUGAACCUGUUAAUUUUUUUUUCAAGUUUUUGCUGUGAAUUUUUUACUUGAACUUACUUGUUCAAGUAAAUUCAGUGAAUUGAGAUAUUUAUUUCAGACCUUAGGACUUCUUCUUAGAACAAGAAAUUUGAGCUGGAAAUCAUAUUUUCUUCCUUUGGGUUUAGUGUGAUAUUCCUGGAUUCAACAAUUAAGUUUUCUUUUUCUUCUUUAUGAAUCACUAAUUUUUUAAUUGAAUCUCAACGAUGGAUGUGUCGCUAUUUAUUUUUCCGCUUAAAGUAAAAAUAACUAGUAAAAUCUGCACCAAGAAAGGCAAUUAAUUCUGUAUACACUGUGGGCAACUAUCUCUUAAAAUUUUAUGGUUUUUAGUUGCUUUUGUGCCUGUGCACUGACGAUGGGUUGAUGAAUUCGGCAACCAAGUGACAAAUUUAGGCAAAUCUGUGUAGGCUUUGACAGGAGGACUGAGAGAGAAAGUGCAAAUAGCUACCAAGUUUGGGAUAAGUAGGAAGGAUGGGAAAAUGAAAAUCAGUGGUGAUCCAAAAUAUGUGAGGGCUGCCUGUGAAGCAAGCUUGAAGCGGCUUAACAUUGACUGCAUUGAUCUCUAUUACGCUCAUCGAAUUGACACCAGUGUGCCUAUUGAAGUCACGGUUUGUCAUUUUCCCAAAUCUUAUUCAUUUGGUACUGCAUUUAGUUUAGUAUUUCAUACAAUGGUGAAAUAUAAAUGAGGCUGAUCAUCUUUAAUAACGAAAAAUGGUAAUAAUGUUUAUCUAAUUCUGCGUUUUGCACAUAUAUCCUUCUUGAAGAUCAUGUUCAGUUUUCAUUGUCUUAUUUUUGAGCAGCUUCGACUGAAGUUUUGCUUGACUGGAAGAAUCUGGCCUCUUUGUGUUUUCGGUGAACAAUUUUGACUGAGGUUUUUAUUUAAUUUUACGUGGAGGUUUUAUUGUACGAUAGUGUUAGGUAAUUGACUGUAAGAUGAGACUAGUAAGUAGUAUGUGUCGGUAAUUGCUAAAGACUUAAUUAAUCUCCUUUUGUUGUACUAAUUGGAGUAGAAGAGUCCUAUAUACGAUUAUAUUACAAAAAAUCCGACAUUUACUUGGACAAAAAACCCAUAUCUGGUGUGACUUGAACUUGGAAACUGAUUUCCUCACAGCUUCAGCCUCGAUUCCAAUAAAGACUUGGUUCUCAUUAAUACAAUACCAAGACCUUAUAAGCUCAGUUUAUUGGCCUACUUUAAUCAAUCGUUGGCUAAUAUGAGCAUGAGCGAGAAUGAUCAGCAGGAAUGUUGACUAACACUGUUUUUUCACUCCAUUUCCAAUGAUGUUAGCAUUUUUAAAUUGUUACAAUUGUACUCAUUUUGUAAUUUCACUUCUCAUGGAUCUCCUCUUAUUGUCCGCUGGCAAACUUCUGCAAGAUGGGAGAACUCAAGAAACUGGUUGAAGAGGGGAAAAUAAAAUAUGUUGGUCUCUCAGAGGCCUCUGCUUCUACAAUCCGAAGGGCUCAUGCCGUUCAUCCAUUAACUGCUGUUCAGAUGGAGUGGUCCUUGUGGUCAAGAGAUUUAGAAAAAGAAAUAAUUCCUACCUGCAGGUAAGGAGUCUUCUGCAUUUGUCAAUAAUCUUAUAACUUCUACAAGAUAAUUAUGUGUUGUUUUCGUCUGUCUUAUUAUUAGGGAACUUGGUAUUGGAAUUGUCCCAUACAGUCCUCUUGGACGUGGUUUCUUUUCAACAGGUCCCAAAUUGAUUGAAAACUUUUCAGAGGGUGACAGUCGUAAGGUUGGUCCAUAUUCAUUCACGUGUAACCUUCUUGGUAUUCAUUUGUGCUGAAUACUUGUUAACUUCAUGUUUUUGCAUCGAGAUUACAUUUAAUUAUUGCUAGCAUCUUUUUGCAUGUUUGGCAAAGCUUAUAAUUAAUUAUAAGCUUGUUAAACUUUUACUUAAUUCUACCCAGUUAUUAUCCACACGUUUCUUAGGACCUACAACUCAUAAUCUAAUUAAAGGUUUGCCAACUAUUUUACUUAUUACUCCCUAAAUUAAAUUUUUCAAACCAGGGAGCUUAGAAAAUUUGUCAAGCCAGCAUUAAUGUUAAGACAAGGUUCCAAGAAAUGUUGUCCUUUUUAUUAACAAUUACGUUUAAGAUAGGCAUUGUAGCCUUUUAUGCUUAAAGGGCGCCUUUUAUUCUCUAGUUAUGAUCGCAAACCAAGUUUCCUCUUGAGAAGACUGCCCACCCGAAAUCAAAUCUUAAAAAGAAAAAAGUUGAAUUUAUUCUUUCGCUAUAAAUUGAAGUGGAAUUGUUUGGUAUACAUUGAUGAAUUCAAAUGCAUAUGCUGAUACAUUGAUGAAUUCAGGUAGUACAUCUGUUAGAUAUGGUUUCAAGGACCUCUGCCUUCUUUUUCCGACCAGAUUUUGAUAUUGCAUGAGAUAAUAUGAGCGCUGUCUUUGCGUGAUCACUUUGAAAUUUAUAAAUGCUCCAGCUUUAAGGGUGAAAUCUCACAUUGAUUACAUAGAAAAAAUACUAACUAAUGUUUAAGAACUUAAACUACUCCUAUUAGUUCUUGUUUUGAAGUGCUUAAAUUUAGAUUUAAGUAACAGUUCCCACAAAAUAUGCGAUAAAAAGUUUGUUUGAAAUUAUAAUUUAAGCUUUGCCACUUGAUAAGGUUCACAUUAUAAGAUGGAACCCAAAAUUCAAUAGUAUCAAAGCCCGUUUACCUCACAAAAGCAAUUUGAUCUAUCUAAAGCUCAAAUGAGCAUUCAAAUUUCAGGAGUGCAAAUGAGUCAUGACUUUACCGGGGCAUGUAUGAUAAUACUAACCAAUCAUAUGAAGGCAAGACCCAAUAUCUAGAUAUAGCUUGUAAUCUCUCUCUCUCUCUCUCUCUCUCUCACACACACACACACACACACACACACAUGUUAACAUAUACACACAAAAGAAAAUUAAGGUUUUGGGUUCACGUAUAUCUGCUGUGUAAGAUUCAACUUUUGAAGACAUAUUUGCAACGUGUAAGGUUUCGGGUUAAAGUAUAUUUGCAAUGUUUACUUGCUGAUGAAAAUUGUUUGACUUUUGUAGACAUUUCCGAGGUUCCACCCAGAAAAUCUUGAAACUAACAAACUAGUAUUCGAAAGGGUUAGUGAAAUGGCUACGAGGAAAGGUUGCACCCCGUCCCAACUAGCAUUGGCUUGGGUUCAUCACCAAGGAGAUGAUGUUUGUCCAAUACCUGGUACCACUAAGAUUGAGAACUUGAACCAGAAUAUUCAAGCUUUAUCUGUGAAAUUGACACCCGAAGAGAUGGCUGAACUUGAAUCCUAUGCUUCAGCUGACGUGGUUAAGGGCGACAGACACGUUUUCAUGGAAUCCACAUGGCUAAACUCAGAGACACCCCCGCUAUCCUCUUGGAAGCCCGAGUAGGCAUUGCCUUUGCUGUUUCACCCCGAGUACUGAACUGAUUCUCCCAGUCAGUUAAAUAAAUAAAACCUGUAUGUUUACUAGCAGAUAUGAGUGGAAGUAUUCAGUUCAGGUAUUAAUAUAUGCUGUUAUGAUUUCAAUUAUUGUGUUUCUGCUAUUUUAGCAUUAAAGAUUUCUCUAUGUAUUUGCAGCCAGUAACUCAAUGUUCAUCGUUCAUAAAAGGCUGUCUAUUUGUUAUUUGCUCUAAUAAGUUGAUAUUUGCUAAAUAUCGUGUGAAUCGGCUUCACCAAGUAACCAUGUCAAAGAUAAAGAAGAUGAGCACAAGAUCAUCACUAACAGCAGAGUUA
rnacentral:lncRNA from 1 species